rnacentral:rRNA from 1 species
UAAAAAAAUUAGAUUUAAUUAUAUAUGUGUUUAAUAUUAAGAAACAUCUAUUAAUAAUGUAAAGGAGAUUGAAAAUUUAUAUUUAUUAAAUCUUUUAAGUACUGUAAAGGAAGAUUCUAAUUUAAAUAAAAGUAAUGCUAAAUGCAUGUACCUUUUGUAUCAUGGUUUAGCUAGAUAUAUUUUUAAUAUUUAAAGUUCUCGAAACCUAAUGAGCUAUCCUUAUUUUUUAUAUUAGUAUAUAGAAAUUAGAUGUAGCAAAAUCUUUUUCAAAAAUAAGGAUAGAAAUGAAAUUUUAUUCGCAUUAGAUGAUAGCUAGUUUUUCUCAAGAGAUAUAGAAGUAUCUAGGUCUGUAAUAUAAAUUUAGAAUUCUUACUAAAUUUAAUAUAACAGACUUAUCAAUUUUUUAAGGAUAAGCUUAAAAAAUUAAUAAGCAUUUAACUUUUCUUAAAAUUUAGGCUUGAAAAUAGCCAGAAUAUUAAAGUUUGUUAUAAUUUAUUUAACUUAAAAGAGAAAGAUAUAUAUGCUAUUGAAUAUAGAGAAAAGUUAUCAUAAACUGAAAGGAUAAAUAUUAAUGCUAAAAUGAGUAUUUAUAUAAUUUGCUUUCUGAUCAUACUAAAAGUCAGAAUUAAACAAUAAAAUAUUAAAAAGAAUUUUCGCGAAGGAACUCGGCAAAUAUUGCUCUGCCUGUUUAUCAAAAACAUGGCUCCUUGAAAUAUUUUGAUAAGGAGUCGGACCUGCCCAGUGAUUUUAAAUUUAACGGCCGCGGUACCCUGACCGUGCAAAGGUAGCAUAAUCAUUUGCCCUGUAAUUGAGGGCUAGUAUGAAUGGUUUGACAAGAGUAAUACUGUCUCCGCAAAAAUUUCCAGAAUUUAUUUUCUAAGUGAAGAAUCUUAGAUAAAAUUAAAAGACAAGAAGACCCUAUCGAGCUUGAAAUAUAUUUACAAAAUAAAAAGAAUAACUUAAUAUUUUCGAUUGUAAAAAAUUUUGGUUGGGGCGACUAAAGAACAAACAAAGCUUCUUUCUAAUAACUUAACUUAUAAGUAAUGAUCCGUUAUUAUAACGAUUAAAAGAAUUAGUUACCGUAGGGAUAACAGCAUAAUCUUUUUUGAGAGUUCUAAUCGAAAAAAGGGUUUGUGACCUCGAUGUUGGACUAGAAUAUCCUGAAAGAUGCAGAAGUCUUCAAGGGUUGGUCUGUUCGACCAUUAAAAUUCUACAUGAUCUGAGUUCAGACCGGCGUGAGCCAGGUCAGUUUCUAUCUUUAAUUAUAAUUUUAAAUUUAGUACGAAAGGACCAAUUUAGAGUAAAAAUUACAAAUAUAGAUGAACUAUAAUUAGUAAAUUAAUUUAUAUUUAAA